rnacentral:ncRNA from 2 species
CAGAAAUCCCAGGGGGGCUGGUGUUACCAGCUGAGAGUAAAAAUAUUAAUUUUUAGACCCUAUAACCUGAUCUGGAUAAUACCAGCGUAGGAAGAGGCUUUAUAUAAUUAA